GUACCUGUAGUAUAAUGGAUAGAACGUCGUCCUCCGGAGACGAAAAUGCGGGUUCGAUUCCCGCCAGGUGCG
rfam:Eubacterium ventriosum ATCC 27560 Scfld0224 genomic scaffold, whole genome shotgun sequence.